rnacentral:rRNA from 1 species
GACGAACCGUGCGAACGUUGUUCGGAUUCACUGGGCUUAAAGGGCGCGUAGGCGGCUUGCCAAGUCAGGGGUGAAAUCUUUCGGCUCAACCGGAAAAGUGCUUCUGAUACUGGCGGGCUGGAGGGGGGUAGGGGCAGAUGGAACUUCCGGUGGAGCGGUGAAAUGCGUAGAUAUCGGAAGGAACGCCGGUGGCGAAGGCGAUCUGCUGGACCCCUUCUGACGCUGAGGCGCGAAAGCCAGGGGAGCGAACGGG